rnacentral:tRNA from 1 species
CGGUGAUUGGCGCAGCUCGGUAGCGCACUUCGUCUGGGAGGGGUCGGAGGCUCCGAAUCCUCUAUCAAUACCGACCA